GAUGAACGCUGGCGGCGUGCUUAACACAUGCAAGUCGAACGAUUAACCCAUCUUCGGAUGGUUAUAGAGUGGCGAACGGGUGAGUAACACGUGACCAACCUACCCUUUACUUUGGGAUAACUCAGAGAAAUCUGUGCUAAUACCGAAUACUCCGAUACCUUCGCAUGUUGGUUUCGGGAAAGUUCCGGCGGUAAAAGAUGGGGUCGCGGCCUAUUAGAUAGUUGGUGGGGUAAUGGCCUACCAAGUCAGCGAUAGGUAGCCGGGUUGAGAGACUGAUCGGCCACAUUGGGACUGAGAUACGGCCCAGACUCCUACGGGAGGCAGCAGUGGGGAAUUUUGCGCAAUGGGCGAAAGCCUGACGCAGCAACGCCGCGUGCGGGAUGACGGCCUUCGGGUUGUAAACCGCUUUCAGCAGGGAAGAAAUUGACGGUACCUGCAGAAGAAGCUCCGGCUAACUACGCGCCAGCAGCCGCCGUAA
rnacentral:rRNA from 1 species